AGCAGCCGCGGUAAUUCCAGCUCCAAUAGCGUAUAUUAAAGUUGUUGCAGUUAAAAAGCUCGUAGUUGAAUUUCGAGACCGGCUUACUGGUCGUGCUUUUGUACGUACUGGUAUAAUCGGUUUCUCCUUUCUGACGAACUAUAAUGCCAUUAAUUUGGUGUUAUAGGGAAUUAGGACUGUUACUUUGGAAAAAUUAGAGUGUUUAAAGCAGGCUCACGCUUGAAUACAUUAGCAUGGAAUAACGGAAUAGGACGUUUGAUUCUAUUUUGUUGGUUUCUAGGAUCGACGUAAUGAUUAAUAGGGAUAGUUGGGGGCAUUAGUAUUCAAUUGUCAGAGGUGAAAUUCUUGGAUUUAUUGAAGACUAACUACUGCGAAAGCAUUUGCCAAGGAUGUUUUCAUUAAUCAAGAACGAAAGUUAGGGGAUCGAAGACGAUCAGAUACCGUCGUAGUCUUAACCAUAAACUAUGCCGACUAGGGAUCGGAUGAUGUUAAUUUUUAAUGACUCAUUCGGCGCCUUACG
rnacentral:rRNA from 1 species